rnacentral:rRNA from 1 species
CCGUUGCAAGGGACUCCGAAGAGCCGUGGCAAGGGGUGAAAAGCCAAUCUAACCUGGAGAUAGCUGGUCUUCUGCGAAACCCGUUUCAGCGGGUCGCCCAUUUAUUGAAAUUAAAUUCGUUACUAGACGGUACGGCACUGGAAGCCACGCAGCUUUUGCUGCAUAAUCGGGGGGCUGUCAUGGCUCUAUCGAUGGCUUCUAACCCCGGAAAUGUAUAGUAUACAAUGAUGGGCAAUCAGACGUAUCGUGAUAAGGCGAUUCGUCAAAAGGGCAACAGCCCAGAACAGGUGUGAAGGUCCCUAACAAGCUACUGAGUGAACACAAGGCAGUCCUCUCCAGUGUCUCUCCACAAAGUGGGCUUGGAAGCAGCCACCUUUUAGCGAUAGCGUAACAGCUCAGUGGUCUGAGCCUCCCUGUAAAAAGGGUAUAUUGCCUGGUGAGGGCGCCAAAAAUGUAACGGGUCUAUAGUAGUUGUCUCUCUGUUCCAGCUUUGGAUAUGGAGGGAGUGGCAGUUUCUUUACUGUCUCACCGAAACCCUGUCCUAGAUGUAAAAUUCUAGGGGUAGCAGAAUACCCAGCAAAUGGAAUGAAGCUUGCUCAUUGAGCCGGUGGACAUAGCUGGGCUAAGAAUGCUGACAUGAGUAGCCUAAAAGGAGGGUAAUUCCCUCUUCGCCGAAAGCAGAAGGGUUUCAUUUGUAAGGUCUAUACCUAGAUGAUUAAAGCAGCGGCCUCUAAGGUUCAGAGUAACAAAUUAGUUCCGAUGAGUAACUCUUCUAUAGGGCAGUAACCUUCCUUAUAAGUUUACCUUCAAGUAAUUAGAGGUAUACUUCAAAGAGUAAGGUUCGGGAAAGAGCCCUACAGAAUAAAUCUUAAAACCGUACCCUAAACCGACACAGGUCUGCAAGUAGAGCAUACUAAGGCGUAGAGAUAAUCGUCUUGAAGGAACUCGGCAAAAUGACCCCGUAACUUCGGGAGUAGGGGUGCCACUAAUAAGUGGCGGCACUAAACAGGGGGGCGCGACUGUUUACUUAAAACACCGGACUCUGCUAACACUAGCGUGGAUGUAUAGAGU